AUUCCUGAAAGCUUCCUCUGUGAUUCAGUGAUGUUUUCCUGCCCACUCACUUCAAAUUUAAGAGGCUGCAUUCCUUUCUUCUGCAAUAUGAAUGUAUUGAAAUAGAUAUGAAAGUAUAAAACUUAAAGAUACUGAAGUUUCACCUAAACACGUGAAAAAAAAAAUUUACUAUAUUUAGCGAGGAAUUUUAGUUUACAUAUUAGAAAGGAAAAUUUUAUUUGAAGAACACGCCGAUGUUGCUCCGAAAAUUUAGCAGAGUUCGUAUUUUUCGAGUGAUUUUUACAUCAAAACGUUUAUUUUUGGGGGUUAUCAAAUGUGCUUUUUGAGUCUGAAGUUGCGUUAUAAGAGACCUUUAAGUCCAUGAAGCCCAAAUUGCUGGGGAGAUGGUGGAGAUCCAAUUAGGAGCCGGGCUCUUUUGUCCGGCUGUUCCCUUUAAUUCCCGUUUUCCAUGGGAUUUAGACUGUCUGCAGGUGUCGCCGUUGCACCACAUUCCCGGCCAUCCUCGUCCAUCCCGAACUAACUGCUGGGAAUGAACUCGGUCAUGUUUUUAAGGCAAAAUGGAGCGUCUUUCCAGCUGUAAUUCCCUAAUUACAUCGAAACUUCUAAUUUCGCUUAAUGAAUCGCGCCGAGAAUGGCACUAAUUUGUUUAAUUGCCUAAAAAAAAAAGCGAGGACGAAGCCAUUUGUGCAGAAAAGCACCGAACACUGAUGUUGUCUGGCUGAAGGAGGGAAUUGUAAUGGAUCCUGUGUCAUUCCAGAUGGUGAGUUUUGUCCUUUAUUGACUCCAUGGAUCCCACGUGGUGCAACAAUCGCAGCAGCUGCACAUGGAAAUGAAUGGAUGGCUCUUCCAUAUCCAUUGGUUUUGUCACCUUCAAUCACAUUUUCAUGGACUUUUGCUCUGUUUUUUGCCUGGUCAUGGUGGGAUAACGCAUCCGGGACCUGCUGUUCCUCCUGGGAAUGAAAGACUGGGAAGGAUCGUCCACUGGGUCUGAGCUUCCCAGGUUCAAGCAGUAGAAUUUCCAGUCCAGAAGCAUCUCCAGAACUUCUGCUCCGGGUGACACCACAGCCAAAGCCACAGGACAAUUCCCAGUGGGAAAAUCCCACAGCAAAUUCUAAAAUCCCCAUGCUCCGUGUGGGAGUCACGCCGACAGAAAACCGAUGGAACAGAGAAACGCUGGCAGUAAUUCCAUGUAAAGCUUUCCAAGAUGUGAGCGAGGAGCUCUUGGGAUGUGCUGGAACUCUUGGAACUCCAGCUCUGCUCAGCAGCUGGACACGCUUUGUAUCCGUCACGAUAUUCCUGCCUGGAAAACGACGCUGCCUGAGCCGAGUAUGGAAACACUGGGGUGUUUUUAAUACCUGAUUUCACUGUACACACGGUCUGAUGCCACUUACAUGGAACAUCCCCUGGCUGGUUAAAGGCUUUCAUUCAUUAUUGUUCAUUACUUGGCUUUUGUUGCUCAGCUCAGGCGCCCGAGUUCCCUCAUAAAAAUGUCUCUGACACUUUUCCAAGCGUGGCCGUUGCAGCACCUUUGGAAUACAUUUGUUUUAACUGGAA